rnacentral:rRNA from 1 species
UCCGGUUGAUCCUGCCGGAGGCCACUGCUAUGGGGGUCCGACUAAGCCAUGCGAGUCAUGGGGCGCCUUGCGCGCACCGGCGGACGGCUCAGUAACACGUCGGUAACCUACCCUCGGGAGGGGGAUAACCCCGGGAAACUGGGGCUAAUCCCCCGUAGGCCUGAGGUACUGGAAGGUCCUCAGGCCGAAAGGGUCUUUGACCGCCCGAGGAUGGGCCGGCGGCCGAUUAGGUAGUUGGUGGGGUAACGGCCCACCAAGCCGAAGAUCGGUACGGGCCAUGAGAGUGGGAGCCCGGAGAUGGACACUGAGACACGGGUCCAGGCCCUACGGGGCGCAGCAGGCGCGAAACCUCCGCAAUGCUCGAAAGAGCGACGGGGGGACCCCCAGUGCCGUGGCAUCGCCACGGCUUUUCCGGAGUGUAAAGAGCUCCGGGAAUAAGGGCUGGGCAAGGCCGGUGGCAGCCGCCGCGGUAAUACCGGCGGCCCGAGUGGUGGCCGCUAUUAUUGGGCCUAAAGCGUCCGUAGCCGGGCCAGUAAGUCCCUGGCGAAAUCCCACGGCUCAACCGUGGGGCUUGCUGGGGAUACUGCUGGCCUU